GCCUGACAGAAUGACUUGAUGAAACAGCUGGGGGAGACCGUGGGAGACGUCACUACACCGAAAAAGGACUGCAGCAGCUAAAUAUAAGCGCUGCCAAAGUCCCAGCGGCUUCUUCCAUUCAGAGACAAGGAGAGAAGGUACUCUUGCCAAACAGGAGUGACAUUUCCCCUGACGGACACCCUUGUCAGGCUCAGUACUUCAGGGCGUGAUGGCACAACUUGCUGCUAAUCAAACCUUUUCAGAGGCAAGCUGGUGAAAUAGGUGGUGACGUGGAGGAGCUUGUCGCUAUUACAAAAUUUUACUCAACAUGGUGGAUAUUUGAUUAUGUCAACAACUUGAGGAAACCAGACAAACAGAUGAAUCCAUGCAAAGCAUGACACAGUAAACAUGACCUGCAAGCAGCAUCACAAGGACAGGAACGGCCUGCCUCAUGACUCUGAGUAGGUGUAUGGGACGCUGAGGGCUUGUGAGUCAUCCACAAGUCCAUCUGAAAUGCCUGGCCAGGUUUCUCCAAUCCCCAUCCAGAGGCUCCAUCUGUGGGCCCCAUGGGCCAGCUGCUGGCCUCUCUCACGCUCCUUCAGCCCAAGCUGGUCAGGCACGAUGCUCCAGUCAUAAUCCUUCCCCUGCCGGCUCAGCCAGGCAGCCAUCUCCCUCCUCUCGUUUCUGAGCUUCUACCCUUCUGCUUGUUUGCCUGACUUCCUGCAUGGAUGGAUCCCGAGCCUGGAAACCCAGCUAUGGAUAGACAUCAGUUAACUCCAUAGCAAGCCCACGCGAACCCAGCCCCUGCAGCGUAAACAUUUGGAGGACAACACGCACCUGUCUAACUCUGUGCACCUCAGAGCAUGUGAAUGACAGUGUGAAAUGGGAAACAAAGGAAAAAGGAGCAUGUGCUGAAAAUAUGGGCUUUUGCUACAAUCUGGUAAUUGGGAAAGGGAGGAAGCUUUUUUGAGCUUUGCACCUAUCACGCUAUAAUGUGAACAUACUGUGGCAUUGCAUAAGGUUGUGUACUCAUUAAGGGCUAAAAAUAAGCCUGGACCAGACACUUUAAAAACUAUGCUGCAAUUGUAUUUAUUACCAUUUAUUAAUAAAAAGAAAAACAGCCUGUUCAAGGCGGCAAUGUUGCGCCGUUAUUCUGCCUCGCCAUUCUGUAUAAAAUGUACAAACAUGGAAUGGGGAGUACUGUUGUUCCUCCGUUAAGCUGGCAGCAGAGGUAGUAACAGAGCAGAAUCAACGUCUUUGUCUGACGGGACGCAGACGCUGUUGUGUAACACGUCACACCUCUUUUGCUUCCUGAACGCCGGCAUGCUAUCUAAAAUCACACACUGGGGCAGCAUUAUGCCAGCGUUGUUUGGUUCAGUGUAAAAAAAGCAAAGCCGGCAUAAUGAUGGGUCUUCUUUACGGCAGUACUGCGGGAUCUCUGUUUAAAAAGGGCUGGUAACUUUGUAGGACAGAAAAGCCAAAGAUAUGUUUGAGGUAAUUGAAAACAAGUGUCUGCAUUUCAUAGUCUGUCCACUACAAAGCGUUGAUAAGAUUAUUUUUUACCUGUUAAAUGUCCAACUCAAUACAUAAAGUAUAUUGGUCACAGUUUUUAAAGCUGCAAUAAUUGAUGUAUUUUGGCCACUUUACCAACUCGACUUGUUGUUGUUGUUGUUGUUGUUGUUGUUUGUUAUGUUCCUAUGUCAAAAAAUUAGUAUUGGCCAAUAUAUUUUUAUCAGAUUGUUUAACAUCUUAAAUGUCAUUAUAAAAAAUAAAAUUAAACUGCUUUAAUAUUGAACCUGUUACACUACAAGACUACAUAAAAAACAUGGUCCUUAAACUCCUUUUUAAUGUGUAUGUGUAUUACUGAGUAUCUGCCCACAUACUGAUUGAAUAAACAAACCAACCUCUUAAGAG